UACGUAGGGGGCAAGCGUUGUCCGGAUUUAUUGGGCGUAAAGAGCGUGUAGGCGGCCAGGUAGGUCUGCUGUGAAAACUCGAGGCUUAACCUCGAGCUGUCGGCGGAAACCAUCUGGCUAGAGUCCGGAAGAGGAGAAUGGAAUUCCCGGUGUAGCGGUGAAAUGCGCAGAUAUCGGGAAGAACACCCGUGGCGAAGGCGGUUCUCUGGGACGGUACGGACGCUGAGACGCGAAAGCGUGGGGAGCGAACAGG
rnacentral:rRNA from 1 species